GGCCAAUUUAUCUUCAUAUUUACUUUUCUCAAAGAUACUGCUUCUAAUGGGGAAAGUCACCAUGCUGUUUUCUUUUGAAAUAAAUCUUUAUAUUUCCCUCCAAACUUGUAAGAAUCGAGUUUCUUUUUAUGACUAUGAAAACUUUUAUGAACUUUUGCCUUAUGAUACCAUAGAUAAGCAUGCCUGGCAUUGCAGUCUUCAGGCUGGGACAAGAUGGUGACUGGUUUUUCCACCAAGUUCUUUCCAUAAGCCCCACUGAGUUCAAUGGGGUCUACUCUCAGGUCUCAACUGUGCAGACCAUGCCGGCCUUACGAAGUGGGGAGAGGAGUAAACAGAGGAAAUUGGAACCACUGGAAAUGUUUAUAAAUGGGGUUUCUGUUGGGAAGGGGCUGCCCCAUUUGUGCUUUUCCAGGGGCAGGAGAAUCCAGUGAGAGCCAGUGUGGUGUAGUGGUUAAGAGCGGUAGACUCGUAAUCUGGUGAACCGGGUUCGCGUGUCCGCUCCUCCACAUGCAGCUGCUGGGUGACCUCAGGCUAGUCACAUUUCUCUGAAGUCUCUCAGCCCCACUCACCUCACAGAGUGUUUGUUGUGGGGGAGGAAGGCAAGGAGAAUGUUAGCCGCUUUGAGACUCCUUCGGGUAGUGAUAAAGCGGGAUAUCAAAUCCAAACUCUUCAUCUUCUCUUCUUCUUCCCUGCAGGGUCUUUGAGGCUCCCUUUGCUUCUUCCUCUCUCCCAGGACCCUGCAGCUUGUUUUGGCUCCUUGACUCUUCAGGAAGGAUGAAAGAGAUGGAUCCUGCAAAGCUAGCGAGGAUGAAAGGGGGAAGAUGGACGGUUGACCUGGUCAGGUUGUCUCCUGCAUCCCUCCUCACAACCUCUGAGCGUUUCUCUCUAGGGCUCUCAGAGAGAUCUGGUGAGUUCCAGGGGAGGGGAGAUGGGGACAUGGAGGGAUGGAGCCAGAGAGGUAUUGGGGCUUGCUCAACCUGGGGGUGGGGGGAGGCAGACAGGCAGGCGGAGAUUGAGAAGGAGAGCACCUUUUUGGGCUCCACCACCUGCCAGCCUGCGCCUUUGUCGUCUGCAGGGAAUUUGAGCUAGGAAUACAUCACAGCUCCCCGGCCACCACGAUGUAUUGGCAGCUCAAAAGGUCUAAUACCAGUGCUGUGAUCUGAAUACCCUACCAAUGUCAAAAAACUUACCGCUCUAUCACACAGCAGUAGAAGCAACGACUCUUUAAAGUAAUGUGAUGCUGCUUUGCAGUUUGAAUGCAGAUGGGGCCUAUGCUUUGUGUCGCCCUUUUCUUUUCUUUUUGGAAUAACUUUUUAUUUCCUUUUAAAAACAAGGAACAUAUGCAUAAUAAAUGACACAAACAUGUAGACCAGGUCGUCUCAUGUCAUUUGUAUAUCUCAAAACUAGCAGAAUAAAUUUGCAGGAAUGGCUAUAACAUAUGGUUCAUCAUUAAUGGUCAGUGUAUGAGUUCUGGGUUCAUGAAUUGGUUUAAACUGGAAAACAAAAAUGGGAAGCAGAGAACAGAGAGCAUUCAACAUCACAUAGCUGGUUGUCUAUUCAGGAGCUCUUCGUGGAUGUUGUACUUAGAUUAAGAUUAAGGAGAGCCAGUGUGGCGCAGUGGUUAAGAGCGGUGGACUCGUAAUCUGGUGAACCGGGUUCGCAUGUCCGCUCCUCCACAUGCAGCUGCUAUUAAUGUUAGUUUCUGAGGUAAAACGUGUCAUUUUACAACUGUGCACCUGUCUUUCUGGAUUUUGUGGGCCCCAAACCCAUUUUCUGUGGUAUUUAUAUGUGUGGAGGUUGUCCCGGGUUGUUUGACCCUUGAGAAACAUAGCUUUUUUUCUCUCCUAGAAAAGACUCCACAAGAUUCUCUGUUUAGAGUUUAAACGGAACACAUUACAUUACUUGAUAUACUAAAAGACGUUUACAUUUGCUUAUAUCUAAUAUAUCUAUAUCUAUUCUUUAUUGAUUUAGAUUAUUUCUACGUUUAUCCCAUUCGUUAUUCAAGACAAUAAGCUACACUCAAAAAUCCAAAAUAAUUCAACAUCAAAUAAUUCUGCUACAUUAGGUAUGAAGAGGGAAUUACAAGUGCUUCUAUCUAUAUGAGACUUUACAGACUUUUCUGAGGCACAUAGCAGCAUAAAACAGGCAGCAGGUGCUCUCACAGAAAACCUCUCUCUCACUCGACAGUUGAGAACAGACCUAACUGAAAAAACGGCCUUCUGGAGUGACAGUCACCCUUUCCAUAGCACCUUGGAGGCAACAUUCACACACAGAGUUGUUAGCGAAGUUGAGGUAAUUUCUGUCAGGUUUGGGUUUCUGUUUUAGCCUCUGCCCGUUUUUUAAAGAGAAGACCAAUGUUACGAGUUGGAGUGGAUUUCAUGAUUGUGGCAACAAAAAUCCGUCCUAGAAAACAGCCAGACUUUCUGAACCUCUGCUUCUUAAAAAUACUCUGUGAAUGCUGGUCGACAAAGACCAUGACCUCUGUAGAAAGACCUCACAUCUUCUGUUCCUCCUCUUUGACAAAUUUGCAUUAGCAUUGUUCAAUAAUUGGGGGGUCCAUUUCUUCCUGAGGAUCUAAUUAGUUUCUGUCUUUGUUGUUGUUGUUUUUUUAAAUAAUUUUUAUUAAAGUUUUGAACAACAAUGAAAGAAAAGAAAAACAUACACAAUACAUAUAACAAAAACACAAAAAAAGCAAGAUUCAACAAUAAAAGAACAAAAAACAAAACAAUUAUCUCUUUUCCAUUUCCGUUUUUUAGUUACUUAUUUUCUGGACUUCCUCAUACCUCCCUCUUUUGUAUUCCAAUCCAAAUUGUUUGUCCAGCAAUUUCUUUUCCACUUUUUUAAUCCCAAUCUUUAGCUUUAAUAAGAUAUUGAAAUAUAUAACUUCAACUUCUUUAAACCUGAUCUUUGGUCUUAGUAUCAUAUAACGUUAAAAUUUUUCCUCUUAAUGUCAAAUUUCCAUUUCUGUAAACAUCUUUAAUCCUAAUCUUUAAUCUGAGUCAAUCAUUAACUUUAACCUGUACAGCUGGAAACCGCUUAUUUUCAGUCCAACAUCACUCUAACAUUCUUUAAUUUUGCAAUGUUUCUGAAGAUAGUCUUUAAAUUUCUUCCAAUCUUCCUCCAUCGACUCUUCUCCCUGGUCACGGAUUCUACCAGUCAUUUCUGCCAAUUCCAUAUAAUCCAUAAGUUUCAUCUGCCAUUCCUCCAGUGUGGGAAGUUCUUGUGUCUUCCAAUACUUUGCGAUGAGUAUUCUUGCUGCUGUUGUUGCAUACAUAAAGAAAGUUCUAUCCUUUUUUAACACCAUUUGGCCGACUAUGCCCAGGAGAAAGGCCUCUGGUUUCUUAGGGAAGGUAUACUUAAACACCUUUUUAAAUUCAUUAUAUAUCAUUUCCCAGAAAGCCUUAAUCUUUGGGCACGUCCACCAAAGGUGAAAAAAUGUACCUUCAGUUUCUUUACAUUUCCAACAUUUGUUAUCGGGCAAGUGAUAGAUUUUUGCAAGCUUGACUGGGGUUAUGUACCACCUGUAUAUCAUUUUCAUAAUAUUCUCUCUUAAGGCAUUACAUGCCGUAAAUUUCAUACCUGUGGUCCAUAACUGUUCCCAGUCAGCAAACAUAAUAUUAUGUCCAACGUCCUGUGCCCAUUUAAUCAUAGCCGGUUUUACCGUUUCAUCCUGAGUAUUCCAUUUCAGCAGCAAGUUGUACAUUCUUGACAAAUUCUUAGUUUUGGGUUCUAACAAUUCUGUUUCUAAUUUGGAUCUUUCCACCUGGAAGCCAAUUUUCCUGUCCAAUUUAAAUGCCUCCAUUAUCUGAUAAUAAUGAAGCCAGUCUCGCACUUUGUUUUUUUAGUUUUUGAAAACUCUGCAAUUUCAGUCUAUCUCCGUCUUGUUCCAAAAUUUCCCAAUAUUUCGGCCAUUUGACCUCCAUAUUGACCUUUUUCAAGGCUUUCGCUUCCAUUGGUGACAGCCACCUUGGGGUUUUGUUUUCUAGCAAAUCCUUAUAUCUUAACCAAACAUUAAAUAGCGCUUUCCUGACAAUGUGGUUUCUAAAUGCUUUAUGUGCUUUGACCUUAUCAUACCAUAGAUAUGCAUGCCAUCCAAAUACAUUAUUAAAACCUUCCAAGUCCAAAAUGUCAGUGUUUUCAAGAAGUAGCCAUUCUUUCCACCAGCAAAAGGCUGCUGAUUCAUAGUAAAGUUUGAGGUCUGGCAGGGCAAAUCCACCUCUUUCCUUUGCAUCUGUUAGUAUUUUAAAUUUUAUUCUAGGCUUCUUGCCCUGCCAGACAAAUUUAGAAAUAUCUUUCUGCCACCUCUUGAAACAAUCCAUUUUGUCCACAAUCUGCAAAGUUUGGAACAAAAACAACAUUCUAGGCAAUACAUUCAUUUUUAUCGCAGCAAUACGGCCCAGCAGUGAAAGCUUCAAAUUUGACCAAAUUUCUAAAUCUUUUUUCACUUCAGCCCAGCAUUUUUCAUAGUUAUCUUUAAAUAAGUUCCCAUUUUUUGCUGUCAUGUUAAUCCCCAAAUAUUUAACUUUCUUAACCACUGUUAAACCUGUCUCAUUCUGAAACCUCUCUCUUUCAAACGGUGUUAAAUUUUUCUCUAAAACCUUGGUUUUUGACUUAUUCAAUUUAAAUCCUGCCACUUGACCAAAUUCUUGAAUCAGUUCUAAAACCCUUUUAGUACUAGAUUCUGGCUCCUGUAAUGUCAAUACUAAGUCAUCUGCAAAUGCUCUCAAUUUGUACUGUUUAGUUCCGACCUGUAUACCUUUAACUGACUGGUCCCUUCUAAUCAUAUUCAGCAAAACCUCCAGGACCGAAAUAAAAAGCAGUGGGGAAAUUGGGCAACCUUGUUGUGUCCCUUUUUCAAUUUUAAGUUCUUCCGUCACAACAUUAUUUACAAUUAGUUUAGCCUUUUGUUCUGAAUAAAUUGCACUUAUACCAUUCUCAAAACCUUGGCCUACCCCCAUACCCUGUAGAUUCUUCUUCAUAAAAUUCCAAGAAAUAUUGUCAAAGGCUUUCUCCGCGUCUACAAAUAUCAACACUGCUUUAGUGUUUAUAUUCACUUCUAAUUUUUCCAAGAUAUCAAUUAUAUUCCUCAAAUUGUCAGACAAAUGUCUUCCUGGGAGAAAGCCCGCUUGGUCUUUGUGAAUCUCUUCCAUCAACACUUUUUAAAAUCUCUUCGCCAAAAUAUCUGCAAAAAUUUUGUAAUCCACAUUAAGUAAUGAUAUAGGGUGGUAGUUCUUAAGCUGUGUCUUUUCAGUCUCUGUUUUUGGUACAAGUGUAAUAUAUGCUUCUUUCCACGACUCUGGUGCUCUCUUCCCCUCCAUUAUUUCGUUGCAGACCUCUUUCAAUGGUUGAAUUAACCAUUCUUUUAAAGAUCUGUAGUAUCUAGAGGUCAAGCCAUCUGGUCUUGGAGAUUUACCCAAUUGCAUGUUUUGAAUGGCACCUUCUAUUUCCUGUUCGGUUAUUCUGUAAUUCAAAAUUAGUUUAUUUUCUUGAGAUAUUUUUUGUAAUCCAUUUGUCUUCAAAAAUUGGUCUAGAUCUAUUUCUUUCAAUGGCCCUUGAGUAUAUAUUCGUUUAAAGUACCUCUGGAAAUAACUUCUGAUCUCUGCAGGGUUCUGUAUAUUUCUUCCUUCCACUUCUAAGUUCGUAAUCGUAUUUAGUUUUUGUCUCUUUUUCAUUUGCCAUGCCAACAAUUUGCCACAUUUAUUGGCCGACUCAAAAGUCUUUUGUCUCAUUUGUUUAAUUUUCCAUUCUAUUUCCUGAUUCAUCAUUUUCAUAUAUUGUACUUGAUAUAACUUUAACUCUCUCAAAAUCUCUUGAGAUUUGGGGUUUACUCUCAGUCUUUUUCACAUUCCUUUAUUUUGUCCAUUAUUUUACCCUUCUUCUCAUUUUGAGUUCUUUUCUUUAUUGCAUUCUGUUGUAUUAAGAACCCUCUCAUAACCGCUUUACUUGCGUCCCAGAUUACUCUUUUCUCCACGUUGGUACUGAGGUUUAUCUCGAAGUAAUCUCUCAGAGUUUUUUGGGCCUUCUUAAGAAAUUCUUCAUCUCUAAAUAAGGUGUCAUUCAUCUUCCAUCUGAAGGAGCCAGUUGGUGUUAAUCUCAUUUCCAUCUUAACAGCAUUAUGGUCGGAGCAAAUUUUCGGGCAGAUUUCCACCUUUCUGGUCUUUGGUGCCAUUCCUCUAGUUAUCCAAAUUUGAUCAAUUCUUGUCCAUGUCAUUUUGGCUUCAGAAAAGAAAGUUCCCUCUUUAGCCAUGGGAUUUCUUGUUCUCCAAAUGUCCACUAAAUCCAAGUUGUCUGUCAUGUCAAAAAAAGUUUUCGGUAGUCUACCAUCCUUGGUGACUACCUGUCUUUGUGUCUUGUCCAUAUAUGUAGAUACCACUCCAUUCAUAUCUCCCAUCAAAAUCAUGUUAUAAUCCAUAUGGUCCAUCAGGGUCUCGUGCAACUUCUUAAAAAAUCAGAUUUCCCGUCAUUUGGUGCAUAGAUUCCUACUAUCAAAAAUUUUUCUCCUUGUGUUUGAAUUUCAAUUGCCACAAAUCUUCCUUGGUCAUCUUUAAAAACAAAUUUCGGUGAUAAUCUGUCUUUUGCAUAAAUCACAACCCCUCUUUCUUUAACUUUGUCCAAUGAAAUAAACUCCUGACCAAGUCUUUUAUUUAUCAACAAUUUCCUGUGUAAUCUUGUUAUAUGUGUUUCUUGUAAACAAAUUAAGUCCAAUUGUUCCUUUUUUAAUAUAUGAAAUACUGAUUUCCUUUUCUGAGGGGAAUUCAAGCCCCGACAGUUCCAUGUUAGAAGUUGCAGGGCCAUGAUGUUAUUGUUUUAAUUCUCCUCCUACUGCACCUAGUGCCUGUUCCUCAUCCGUCGGUGGUAUCACUUUUUCGAACGGUCUUUUGGUUCCGGAGAUAGUUCUUUUGUAGGUCUUCUCCGUGGUCUCUCCAAAAUUUGUCUUUGUCGUCUUCCGAUCUUAUUUUCCUCUUCUUUCCUUUGUAGCUAAAAGAUAGGCCUUGAGGGAGUUCCCACCUAAAGUUGAUACUGUUCCUUCUCAGCAGGGUAACCAAGUCUUUAUAGUUUGAUCUGAGAUCCAGAAGGUAUUUCGGAAUGUCUUUAAAUAUUUCAACCCUUGUCCGUUGGAUUUCCAGUGUCUUCUGGAAAUGCAAACCCAAAAUCUUAUCCCUCUCUUCUUUUGUUCGAAAAGUAAUCAAACAGUCUCUCACCUUCUUCUCUCCUCUUUUCCCAAGUCUAAAAGCAUUUACUAUUUUAAAACUGUCUUUUACCAAUUCUGGAUCCCAAAAGUCCAAAAAUUCCUGCGUGAGAAAUUCAGCUAGAUUGUCCUUUUCCACUUCAGGUACCGAUCUGACCCGUAAAUUCACUUGUUUUUCCUUCAAUUCAAUCAUAGACAGGGUCAAUUUAUGGUCUUCCAAUUGUUUGUGCAAUGAUGGUAUUGUCUCUUGAACCUCUUUAACCUCUGUAGCAGAAGUUGUAGCAAUUUCUUUGGCCUCCUCAGCAAUCUGGCGUAUUGAGGCCGAUUCCUCUAAUAAUUUCUGAAUAGUCUCUGUAUUAGUAUUUACUUUCUGGCCCAAAUUGUUUAUACUUGCUGUAUUCUGAUUAAUACUUGUUGUAUUUUGAUUAAUACUUAUUGUAUUUUGAUCAAUCUUGUCACAUGCCUCUGCUACUUGUUGACUUAUUCUAUUUAAAGAUUCAUUGACCUUAGCCAAAACUUGAGCAAAGGCAUCAUCACUUGUCAUACGUUUUACUUUUGAUUGUGCCGAUGAGGCUGUUGUUGAGACUCCAGAGGCGCCUGAGGUCGAAAAUCUCCUUUGUAAUCCUUCUGUUCGAAGAACCUUGCCCGACCUUGUAGCCGAUGCUUCCGUUUUCUCUUUACCAUCUGCCAUUCCUUUAGAUAUUGCUCAAGGUCAGUCACACAGUUAAAUUCAAACAGUGGAAAUUUCCAGCAGAGCUGUGUGAGAAUUCCUCAAGCCAGCUACAGUUUCAAUUAUAACAAAUUGUAACAAUUCCAAGUUCCACUAGGGGGACACUGUAACAGUCAUAAGAGUUCUUAGAUACUUUACUUUCUUUUUUAAGUCCCCCCAGUUUAUUUAGGAAGAUAACAGUGUAUAUAAAGUAAUAACUUAAGACCAGGAGAUAUAUGUCCACAUAAUAUGUCCAAAUUUUUAUUUCCUGUGCAGGACUAGCUGUCAAAGUAUAUUUCAAGACAGUACCUCUCUUCCUUUUUUAAGUUGCCUCUGGAGAUCCUUUCCCAGGGAAUUGAGCGAUGGUUUAAUCCCUUUUAUUUCCACUUCUUUAUGAAGAAAUCACAUCCACAAUUCUCCCCCCUUUUCCCUCAAUUUAAGGGGGGGGGGAAAUCCAGGUUAGAUGAUUGGAUUAAAGUCCGCUAAUACGUGCUUUUCCUAAGCUUCCGCUUUCAAGUUCAAUGCUUUAUUUUAUCUACAAAUAGGAAGAGGCAGACUUCCUUUUUGUGCCUCUUUCCGUUUUCGGCCAGAUUCACAAUUUAUACAGUUCCAAUUACGUUGUAUCCUACUCACGGAUCGUUGAUUUUCAAGUCCCAAUUCAAAGGAAAAAAGGCAGCGCUCUCCGGUCAACAGCUUGCGGCUUCACACCACGAAAGAAGCAGACAGCCCACAGCACAGCGCUCCUUCCCCCGCUCCGAUUCCGAGCCCGUUGCCGGGCUUUUUACCGGGUUGGGGGGGGCGCCAAAUGUGCCCGCUGGGUCCCAGGUUCACAGGCUUCCCCCGCCUGUGAUUUUUAAGGGUCCCCCGCUGCGCCGAAGCGGGAUUCGACCCAGGUUUUCGUGGCGAGAUUUCCUCCGAUCGAGGAAAUCCGCCAUUAACCGCUGGCGCCACCUCCGGAAGUCCUAGAAAAGAGGUCGACAAAUGCUGGUCGACAAAGGCCACGACCUCUGUAGAAAGACCUCACAUCUUCUGUUCCUCCUCUUUGACAAAUUUUCAUUAGCAUUGUUCCAUAAUUGGGGGCUCCGUUUCUUCCUGAGGAUCUAAUUAGUUUCUGUCUUUGUUGUAGGUGGUGAUGAAUUGGAAAUGAAGAAUGGGGGAGACCAUGACAAAAUCCACACAGUGGAAAAGCCAUAUCAAAAUUGGGGGUAUGGAGAGAGCUCCAGUCAGAGUUCCCGUUCCCACCAAAGAGCUCAAAGCGGGAAGAAAGGCUAUCAGUGCUCAGAAUGUGGGAAGAGCUUCAGUCGGAAGGACAGUCUCACUUUGCAUCAAAGAAUUCAUACAGGGGAGAAACCCCAUCAGUGCUUGGAAUGUGGAAAGAGGUUUUGUCAGAGUGGGGCUCUCACUUCCCACAAAAGAAUUCAUACAGGGGAGAAACCCUAUCAGUGCUUGGAAUGUGGGAAGAGCUUCAGUCAGAGGAGCAGUCUCGCUUCCCAUCAAAGAAUUCAUACAGGGGUGAAACCCCAUCAGUGCUUGGAAUGUGGAAAGAACUUCAGUCACAGCCACAAUCUCGCUUCCCAUCAAAGAAUCCAUACAGGGGAGAAACCGUAUCAGUGCUUGGAAUGUGGAAAGAAUUUUCGUCUGAGUGGGGAUCUCACUUCCCAUCAAAGAAUUCAUACAGGGGUGAAACCCUAUCAGUGCUUGGAAUGUGGAAAGCGCUUCAGUAACAGCAGCAGUCUCACUUCCCAUCACAGAAUUCAUACAGGGGAGAAACCCUAUCAAUGCUUGGAAUGUGGAAAGAGCUUCAGUAGGAGCACCCAUCUCACUUCCCAUGAAAGAAUUCAUACAGGGGAGAAACCCUAUCAGUGCUUUGAAUGUGGAAAGAGCUUCAGUCAGAGCAGCAGUCUCACUUCCCAUCACAGAAUUCAUACAGGGGAGAAACCAUAUCAGUGCUUGGAAUGUGGGAAGAGCUUCAGAAAGAGGGCAGGUCUCAACCGCCAUCAAAGAACUCAUACAGUGGUACCUUAGGUUAAGAACUUAAUUUGUUCUGAAGGUCCAUUCUUAACCUGAAACUGUUGUUAACCUGAAGCACCACUUUAGCUAACGGGGCCUCACGCUGCUGCCUCGUGAUUUCUGUUCUCACCCUGAAGCAAAGUUCUUAACCCGUGGUAUUAUUUCUGGGUUAGCGGAGUGUGUAACCUGAAGCGUCUGUAACCUGAAGUACCACUGUACUGAAGCAUAUUAGAAAUGUGGAAACAGCUUCUCUUCCAAGAGGCAUCUAGCUUCCCUUGAAGAAAUUCAUGUGAUUGAGCUGGUGGUUGCUGAAGAACUCCAGGCAUGCCUGGAGGGUGGGGACCAUUUGGAUCCCUUCCAAUCGGGAAUCAGGCCUCAUAUUGGGACUGAAACUGCCUUGGUUGUGCUGGUCCAUGAUCUCCGGCGCUCUAGGGACAACUGUGAAAGCUGUUUCCUGGUUCUGCCGGAGCUCUCAGUGGCCUUUGAUACCAUUGACCACGACAUCAUUCUGGACCGUCUAGAGGAGCUGGGAGCUGAGGGUUAUACAGUGGUUCCACUCCUUCCUCCUGGGCCAUGUUCAGAAAGUGGUGGUGGGGGAUCAUUGUUCAGACCCCUGGGCUCUCACUUGUGGGGUGCCUCAGGGUUCCAUCCUCUCCCCCAUGCUUUUUAACAUCUACAUGAAGCUGCUGGGAGAGAUCAUCAGAGGGUUUGGGCUGAGUGUUCAUCAGUAUGCGGAUGAUAUCCUGCUCUAACUCUCUUUUAAAUCGGAAUCAGUGAAAGCGCUGAAGGUCCUGUGUGAGUGUCUGGAGGCGGUUGGAGGAUGGAUGGCAGGUGACUGAUUGAGGCUGAAUCCUGACAAGACAGAAGUGCUGUUCUUGGGUGACAGGGGGCGGGCUGGUGUUGAGGACUCACUUAGACCACUGCAACACAUUCUAUGUGGGGCUCCCUUUGAAGGUGACCUGGAAACUACAACUAAUCCAGAAUGCGGUUGCUAGACUGGUGACUGGGAGUUGCUGCCGAGACCACAUAACACCGGUCCUGAAAGACCUGCAUUGGCUCCCAGUACGUUUCUGGCCACAAUUCAAAGUGUUGGGGUUCACCUUUAAAGCCCUUAACAGCCUUGGCCCAGUAUACCAGAAGGAGUGUCUCCAGCCCCAUCCUUCCGUCUGCACACUGAGGUCCAACUCCCAGGGUCUUAUGCUGGCUCCCUCACUGCAGGAAGUGAAGAUACAGGGCCUUCUCUGUAGUGGCAUCCGCCCUGUGGAAUGCCCUCCUACCAGAUGUCAAAGAAAUAAACAACUGUCUGACUUUGAGAAGACAUCUCAAGGGAGCCCUGUUUAGAGAAGCUUUUAAUAUGUGAUGAAUUAUUGUAUUUUAAUAUUUUGCUGGAAGUCACCCAGAGUGGUUGGAGAAACCCAGCCAGACGGACGGGGUAUAAAUCAAUUAUUGUUAUUGUUUUAAGGACUUUCCCAUGCAAUAUGGGAAUCCACAUCCAUCUGAAGUUCAGGAGCAGUUGGACAAUCCCCAGAUUCUGGGCAUCUACCGUAUUUUUCGCUCUAUAGGACACACUUUUUCCCCUUCAAAAAUGAAGGGGAAAUGUGUGUGCGUCCUAUGGAGCGAAGAUGCCAUAGGCCCGCGACC
rnacentral:lncRNA from 1 species